rnacentral:antisense_RNA from 1 species
GCUGUUGAAGACCCAUGGGCAUGACUGCACCCCUCACUAAUUGGUCACUGGUUUGGGGAGGACACCACUGUCCCAGUGGAACCUUGAGCACACCUUGGGGCCCUCCUCUUCCUCUCCGGACCUGUGCCAAACUGCCAUCCUGCAGCCACCAGAACCUUCCACAUGAAAUGAAAGGCUCACCACUUCAUAGGCUUUAAGGAAAUUCUUGGCCAGGUGUGGUGCCUCACUGCUGUAAUCCCAGUGCUUUAAGAGGCCAAGAUGGGAGGAUUGCUUAAGCCAGGUGUUUGAGACCAGCCUGGGCAACAUAGUAA